rnacentral:rRNA from 1 species
ACGCUGGCCGCGUGCCUAAUACAUGCAAGUCGUACGCUUCUUUCCUCCCGAGUGCUUGCACUCAGGACGAAUUGGAAAGAGGAGUGGCGGACGGGUGAGUAACACGUGGGUAACCUACCCAUCAGAGGGGGAUAACACUUGGAAACAGGUGCUAAUACCGCAUAACAGUUUAUGCCGCAUGGCAUAAGAGUGAAAGGCGCUUUCGGGUGUCGCUGAUGGAUGGACCCGCGGUGCAUUAGCUAGUUGGUGAGGUAACGGCUCACCAAGGCCACGAUGCAUAGCCGACCUGAGAGGGUGAUCGGCCACACUGGGACUGAGACACGGCCCAGACUCCUACGGGAGGCAGCAGUAGGGAAUCUUCGGCAAUGGACGAAAGUCUGACCGUGCAACGACCUUUGAGUGAAGAAGGAUUUCGGAUCGUAAAACUCUGUUGUUAGAGAAGAACAAGGACGUUAGUAACUGAACGUCCCCUGACGGUAUCUAACCAGAAAGCCACGGGUAACUACGUGCCAGCAGCCGCGGUAAUACGUAGGUGGCAAGCGUUGUCCGGAUUUAUUGGGCGUAAAGCGAGCGCAGGCGGUUUCUUAAGUCUGAUGUGAAAGCCCCCGGCUCAACCGGGGAGGGUCAUUGGAAACUGGGAGACUUGAGUGCAGAAGAGGAGAGUGGUAUUCCAUGUGUAGCGGUGAAAUGCGUAGAUAUAUGGAGGAACACCAGUGGCGAAGGCGGCUCUCUGGUCUGUAACUGACGCUGAGGCUCGAAAGCGUGGGGAGCAAACAGGAUUAGAUACCCUGGUAGUCCACGCCGUAAACGAUGAGUGCUAAGUGUUGGAGGGUUUCCGCCCUUCAGUGGUGCAGCAAACGCAUUAAGCACUCCGCCUGGGGAGUACGACCGCAAGGUUGAAACUCAAAGGAAUUGACGGGGGCCCGCACAAGCGGUGGAGCAUGUGGUUUAAUUCGAAGACCUUUGAAGAACCUUACCAGGUCUUGACAUCCUUUGACCACUCUAGAGAUAGAGCUUUCCCUUCGGGGACAAAGUGACAGGUGGUGCAUGGUUGUCGUCAGCUCGUGUCGUGAGAUGUUGGGUUAUGUCCCGCAACGAGCGCAACCCUUAUUGAUAGUUGCCAUCAUUUAGUUGGGCACUCUAGCGAGACUGCCGGUGACAAACCGGAGGAAGGUGGGGAUGACGUCAAAUCAUCAUGGCCCUUAUGACCUGGGCUACACACGUGCUACAAUGGGAAGUACAACGAGUCGCUAGACCGCGAGGUCAUGCAAAUCUCUUAAAGCUUCUCUCAGUUCGGAUUGCAGGCUGCAACUCGCCUGCAUGAAGCCGGAAUCGCUAGUAAUCGCGGAUCAGCACGCCGCGGUGAAUACGUUCCCGGGCCUUGUUCACACCGCCCGUCACACCACGAGAGUUUGUAACACCCGAAGUCGGUGAGGUAACCUUUUUGGAGCCAGCCGCCUAAGGUGGGAUAGAUGAUUCGGGUGAAGUCGUAACAAGGUAG